rnacentral:rRNA from 1 species
UACCAGCACCCCGAGUGGUCGGGACGUUUAUUGGGCCUAAAGCAUCCGUAGCCGGUUCUACAAGUCUUCCGUUAAAUCCAACUGCUUAACAGGUGGGCUGCGGAAGAUACUAUAGAGCUAGGAGGCGGGAGAGGCAAGCGGUACUCGAUGGGUAGGGGUAAAAUCCGUUGAUCCAUUGAAGACCACAAGUGGCGAAGGCGGCUUGCCAGAACGCGCUCGACGGUGAGGGAUGAAAGCUGGGGGAGCAAACCGG